UACGGAGGGUGCAAGCGUUAUCCGGAUUCACUGGGCUUAAAGGGUGCGUAGGAGGGCAGGUAAGUCAGUGGUGAAAUCUCCAAGCUUAACUUGGAAACUGCCGUUGAUACUAUCUGUCUUGAAUGUUGUGGAGGUGAGCGGAAUAUGUCAUGUAGCGGUGAAAUGCUUAGAUAUGACAUAGAACACCAAUUGCGAAGGCAGCUCACUACACAAUUAUUGACUCUGAGGCACGAAAGCGUGGGGAUCAAACAGG
rnacentral:rRNA from 1 species